AGUGAACGCUGGCGGUAGGCCUAACACAUGCAAGUCGAACGGCAGCACAGUAAGAGCUUGCUCUUACGGGUGGCGAGUGGCGGACGGGUGAGGAAUACAUCGGAAUCUACUUUUUCGUGGGGGAUAACGUAGGGAAACUUACGCUAAUACCGCAUACGACCUACGGGUGAAAGCAGGGGAUCUUCGGACCUUGCGCGAUUGAAUGAGCCGAUGUCGGAUUAGCUAGUUGGCGGGGUAAAGGCCCUCCAAGGCGACGAUCCGUAGCUGGUCUGAGAGGAUGAUCAGCCACACUGGAACUGAGACACGUUCCAGCCUCCUACGGGAGGCAGCAGUGGGGAAUAUUGGACAAUGGGAGAAAGCCUGAUCCAGCCAUACCGCGUGGGUGAAGAAGGCCUUCGGGUUGUAAGGCCCUUUUGUUGGGAAAGAAAAGCAGCAGGUUAAUACCCCGCUGUUCUGACGGUACCCAAAGAAUAAGCACCGGCUAACUUCGU
rnacentral:rRNA from 1 species